rnacentral:rRNA from 1 species
GACAGAAGGGGGCAAGCGGUUGCUCGGAAUUACUGGGCGUAAAGGGCGCGUAGGCGGGAUGGCAAGUCGGUCGUGAAAUCCUUCGGCUCAACCGAAGAACGUCGAUCGAUACUGCUGUUCUUGAGGGUUGCAGAGGAGACUGGAAUUCCCGGUGUAGCGGUGAAAUGUGUAGAGAUCGGGAGGAACACCGGUGGCGAAGGCGGCAUCCUGGACCAACACUGACGCUGAGGAGGCGAAAGCCAG